rnacentral:lncRNA from 1 species
AUCGUUUAUUAUCAUUGCUUUAUUUGUGGUGCAAAUACCUCUUACAGCAUGCUAUAAGAUGUUCCCAUCAAUUCCAAGGCAUAAUAUACCGCGGUUUAUACUUUAAAGACUGCAGCAGCUCUGUUCACAUUUCCAUCUCAAUCACCAAGCAUCUGCGUAUCAGUUAUUCCCCAUAAUAAUUAAAUAUAUCUGUUGUCAAUAAUUUAGUGUAAAUAAUUAAUUAGAUGGCU